rnacentral:lncRNA from 1 species
CUAAAACACAAAAAAUUCUUAUUAUGGCAGCAAUAAAAUCUGUAUCUUCAAGCCCCAAAUGGCUAGUUUUGAUGUUCAUGGCAUUAGUUUUUCAGAACCAAAUGGCUCAAUCUCAGACACAAACUUGUUCAAAUUCACUUGCAAAUCUGAAUGUGUGUGCACAAUUUGUGGUGCCUGGUGCAGCCAACACCAGCCCUAGCCCCGACUGCUGCACAGCAUUACAGGGCCUGGAACAUGACUGCAUUUGCAAUACUCUCCGUAUUGCGGCUCGUCUUCCUGCACUGUGCAACCUCCCUCCUCUCUCUUGUGGUGGUUUGUUAUCUCUUGUUCUUGCUAUUAUAUCACGUCGUACUCGAUAAUAUAACAAAAAAAUAUUUUAACUUUUCUGCUGAUUUACGACUGUAUAUACUGUUUAAUUCGCUCUAUCAAACGUGCCAUAUAAUGUGUAAUAUCUAUUUUACAUUAUUUGAUUAAAAUGGCAUUUAUUUAUUGAUUUAUAAUUUGACUAUUUCUUUGUGCAGCAAACUGAGUAGCAUUUGCUGAGGACUGCAGAAUAAUGUCAAAGAUGUCCACCACACCCCCCGCCCCCCCCCAAAAAAAAAAAAAAGAAAAAGAAAAUAAAAGGUGAAUAAUGUCAAAGUUUUUAUAGUUUUCUGGAUAAAUAUUUUAAUUUCCUUUUAAUAGUGGCCGAUGUUUCUUGAAUAACAUUGCAAUGUAAUGGAGGUCAGGAAUUGUAGUGCCUGAUAAAGGAAUAAAUAGAAUAUGUUUUUCCAUUUUAUAAGAGAAUUAUCAUCGAGCUAUUUUAAUUUUAAU